rnacentral:rRNA from 1 species
GAGGAAAAGAAAAUAACCAUGAUUGCCCUAGUAACGGCGAGUGAAGAGGCAAAAGCUCAAGUUUGGAAGCUCAAUGGUUUAACCAUUGCGCAUUGUAAACUGAAAACAGGAUCAAUCAGGUACACCGGGUGAUAAGUUCCUUGGAAUAGGACAUCAUGGAGGGUGAGAAUCCCGUCUUUGACCCGAGUCUAGUAUCUUUUGUAUUGGCCUGUUCAAGAGUCAGGUUGUUUGGGAAUGCAGCCUAAAGCUGGAGGUAAAUCCCUCCUGAAGCUAAAUAAUGGCGAGAGACCGAUAGCGAACAAGUACCGUGAGGGAAAGAUGAAAAGAACUCUGAAGAGAGAGUUAAACAGUACGUGAAAUUGCUUAAAGGGAAGCAUAUAAAGCUAGGAUGCGAUUGUUUUCUUCAGGUUGAGCUUUGGCUUGACUGUUCAGAAGGAUAAUCCAAGACAACAAGAAUUGGAGGAGGAGAAUAAGCCAUUGGGGAAGGUAAUCCUUCGGGAUGUUUAUAGACCUGAUGGUUCGCGCUCUUCUUUCGAUUGAGGUACGCUUUUUUUAAAGGUUGUUGUCUGAAUGGCUUUAUAUGGCCCGUCUUGA